CAACCUUCCUCUGAAUGAAUGAGGAAGCGAGAGAUUCUCGCCUCCCUGUGGAGACCAACUCGACCCAGGAAGCAGGGAACGAGGGGCAAUGAAACAGCCGGUUCCAGUACCAAUAACGGGGGCCAAUUCGCUCUCGCCGGCACCAGCUCCUGGCCCGCAGUGCACGUUGGCGAUGUUGAAGUACUGGCUUCCUACGUUGUGUCAGUGGGCGAGAUUCCCACCAGCAGAACCGCUUCAUGUUACCCCGAUACUUUUCAUCUGAUGAUUAAACUGCAGAAGAUGCUGCAAAAGCAUACCUGGCAACCUUUUCC